UUGCCUGAAAGCACUAAGGAUUGUGUGGGCAAAUGACUGUUUGUGAUUACAAGUAAGCUGCUCACCCUUGCAACCCUUGCAGUGCCCCUCUCUCUCUCUGUCUCAGGCCCUUGCCAUUUCCCUCGGCAGCCAGGACUUUGCCCCAGGGAUGCUUCAGCAGAUCCAGGAGAAGGAGGACUUGUUGGCCGAGGCCUUAGCCGAGCAAGAUCAGAUCAUAACCCGGUGGCAAAGGCGCCUGCAGGAGAUGAAGGACGGCGCCUCAGCCAGGGAGCAAGAACUGAGGGAGCAGCUGCAGCAGCGUUCUCAAGAUGCCCGAGCACAGGCCCAAGAAAUGGAGCAGCUACGGAGGCGCCUGGCGCAGGCAGAGGCCGAAGUAGCCCAGGGGGCCGUGACGUUGGAGGAACAUCGGAGACAACUAGACGUGUUGAAGGAGGUGGGAGACAUGAAAGACCGUACCCUGGAGACAUUUCUGCGAGAGGGGGAAGAGAAGGACCGGAUUUUGCAGAAGCUGCAGGAGCUCUGGUUGAAGAGAACAAGGCAGGGAGCAGGGGGCAAAGGUAAGAGGUGGGAGGGGUGCAGUUUGUCAAAAAGGGAGAAAGGAGUUUGGUGUGUGUGUGUUUGCGUUUGCCACACUGAGAGCCAGCCUGAGACACAUGGCUGA
rnacentral:lncRNA from 1 species